rnacentral:rRNA from 1 species
GGACGAAUCUUCCGCAAUGGGCGAAAGCCUGACGGAGCAAUGCCGCGUGUGGGAUGAAUCGGCUUCGCCGUGUAAACCACUGUCAGGUCCCAGGAACACUGACCGGGACCAGAGGAAGGGCCGGCUAAACUCGUGCCAGCAGCCGCGGUAAGACGAGUGGCCCAAGCGUUAAUCGGAAUUACUGGGCUUAAAGCGUGCGUAGGCGGAUGCGCAAGCGUCCUGUGAAAGCCCCCGGCUCAACCGGGGAACA